UACAGAGGUCUCAAGCGUUGUUCGGAUUCAUUGGGCGUAAAGGGUGCGUAGGUGGCGCCGUAAGUCGGGUGUGAAAUUUCGGAGCUUAACUCCGAAACUGCAUUCGAUACUGCGGUGCUUGAGGACUGGAGAGGAGACUGGAAUUCAUAGUGUAGCAGUGAAAUGCGUAGAGAUCAUGAGGAAGACCAGUGGCGAAGGCGGGUCUCUGGACAGUUCCUGACACUGAGGCACGAAGGCCAGGGGAGCAAACGGG
rnacentral:rRNA from 1 species